CAUGGGGUAGUUCAGCGGUAGAACGCCUGGCUCGGACCGGGAGGGCGCAGGUUCGAGUCCUGCCCCCAUGU
rnacentral:tRNA from 1 species